GACGAACGCUGGCGGCGUGCUUAACACAUGCAAGUCGAGCGAUGAAGCUCCUUCGGGAGUGGAUUAGCGGCGGACGGGUGAGUAACACGUGGGCAACCUGCCUUGUAGAGAGGAAUAGCCACUCGAAAGGAUGAUUAAUACCUCAUAAUAUUGUAGCUUCGCAUGAAGUGACAACCAAAGGAGCAAUCCGCUACAAGAUGGGCCCGCGGCGCAUUAGCUAGUUGGUGAGGUAACGGCUCACCAAGGCGACGAUGCGUAGCCGACCUGAGAGGGUGAUCGGCCACAUUGGGACUGAGACACGGCCCAG
rnacentral:rRNA from 1 species